rnacentral:rRNA from 1 species
GACGAACGCUGGCGGCGUGCCUAAUACAUGCAAGUAGAACGCUGAAGGAGGAGCUUGCUCUUCUUGAUGAGUUGCGAACGGGUGAGUAACGCGUAGGUAACCUGCCUGGUAGCGGGGGAUAACUAUUGGAAACGAUAGCUAAUACCGCAUAACAGUAGAUGUUGCAUGACAUUUACUUAAAAGGUGCAAUUGCAUCACUACCAGAUGGACCUGCGUUGUAUUAGCUAGUUGGUGGGGUAACGGCUCACCAAGGCGACGAUACAUAGCCGACCUGAGAGGGUGAUCGGCCACACUGGGACUGGGACACGGCCCAGACUCCUAAGGGAGGCAGCAGUAGGGAAUCUUCGGCAAUGGACGGAAGUCUGACCGAGCAACGCCGCGUGAGUGAAGAAGGUUUUCGGAUCGUAAAGCUCUGUUGUAAGAGAAGAACGAGCGUGAGAGUGGAAAGUUCACACUGUGACGGUAUCUUACCAGAAAGGGACGGCUAACUACGUG